rnacentral:rRNA from 1 species
GUGUGCCUACGGGACGCAGCAGUGGGGAAUAUUGCACAAUGGGGGGAACCCUGAUGCAGCGACGCCGCGUGAGUGAAGAAGUAUUUCGGUAUGUAAAGCUCUCUCAGCAGGGAAGAAAAUGACGGUACCUGACUAAGAAGCCCCGGCUAACUACGUGCCAGCAGCCGCGGUAAUACGUAGGGGGCAAGCGUUAUCCGGAUUUACUGGGUGUAAAGGGAGCGUAGACGGCAGAGCAAGUCUGAAGUGAAAGCCCGCGGCCCAACUGCGGGACGGCUUUGGAAACUGCCCGGCU